UAAACGUUUAUAUUUGUGGAUUUGCAGUGCUUGAUGCAGCAAACAAGGGGAAUCGCUAUAUAAAUUCCUGUCUCAGAUUGAAUGAAGAGAUGAAGACUGUUGAUGGACUCGCUGCUCAUCUAAAAACCCUAAGAAGGCACGUAGAUUCUCUGACUCAGCUGUUAACAAGCUUCUUCAAUUCCCCUGAUACAUUGGGAUCAGUCCUGUACAAGGUUCAUUUUCUAUUUCCCAUAACUAACUCUUGAAAGAAUGUGGAAUGCCUAAUCUAUAUAUUUUUCAUUUCAUGGUUAUGCUGAGAUAGUGUUUCAGUGCAAAUAAAGCAAAAGAAUAUUUUUUCUCUUCUGCAGUGUUAAGACGAGAGGGUGAGAAGCGGUGAAGUUUCUCCUUUUUCCCCAGCAAACAAGAGAUAGAGAGUCUACAAUAUUGUUCCUCGUGUCACAAAAUUUUCCUCUAGUGCUGACAAAAAAAAACACAAGACUUUCCUCUAGUGUGUCACAAGAUUUUUCCAGUGCUCAGUAUGUUUGAAGUUUUAGACGUGAUGAUUUUAUGUAUGUGCCUUUGUCAUUAUCACUGGUGCUGUUAAUAGUUUGUAUUCAGGACAGAAAUGAAAGUAAGUACAGUCUAGAGUAGCAUAUUUUGGUUCUUCAUCUUGUUCUGAAAUGGUAUAAAAACAUUCUAUGCCUCUUUGGGAUAUGGGAUAAGAUAAACUGCCUUUACUCUUGUUUUA